GUGGCGAACGGGUGAGUAACACGUGAGCAACCUGCCCCUGACUUCGGGAUAACCUCGGGAAAUCGUGGCUAAUACCGGAUAUGACGCCCUGCCGCAUGGUGGGGUGUGGAAAGACUGUGUCGGUUGGGGAUGGGCUCGCGGCCUAUCAGCUUGUUGGUGGGGUGAUGGCCUACCAAGGCGACGACGGGUAGCCGGCCUGAGAGGGUGACCGGCCACACUGGGACUGAGACACGGCCCAGACUCCUACGGGAGGCAGCAGUGGGGAAUAUUGCACAAUGGGCGCAAGCCUGAUGCAGCGACGCCGCGUGAGGGAUGACGGCCUUCGGGUUGUAAACCUCUUUCAGCAGGGGAGAAGGCCUUCGGGUUGACGGUACCUGCAGAAGAAGCGCCGGCUAACUACGUGCCAGCAGCCGCGGUAAUACGUAGGGCGCAAGCGUUGUCCGGAAUUAUUGGGCGUAAAGAGCUCGUAGGCGGUUUGUCGCGUCUGCUGUGAAAACGCGAGGCUCAACCUCGCGCCUGCAGUGGGUACGGGCAGACUAGAGUGCGGUAGGGGAGACUGGAAUUCCUGGUGUAGCGGUGGAAU
rnacentral:rRNA from 1 species